UUAGGAUAUUACAAGGUGAUCGCUAUUACAAAAGAAGCCAACCGGUGGUCCUUAUUAGGAUAUUACAAGGUGAUCGUUGUUAAAGUAGAAUCCAACCGGUGGAGGGAGGAACAGGAUGAGGGAAGAAGAAGAAAAGAAAGAAAAGAUGGAUGGGUAUUUUGGGGAACAAAAUAUCAUCCACUACCUCUGAUGAACACGUUCGGAGGUAACAAACUUGCUGAAUGAUUUGAAGAAAUUUUCAGAUUCCAGAGGAUGAGUUCGGAGGCAUUGCCGAAUGACCCUGAAGCGCCGAAAAGUAAAAAUUUCAGUGUUCAGAAGUCGAUUCAAUGCUACCGAUUUACAUAUCAGUUGGGUGAACUGGAGACAAAAUCAUACACACCCUAUUGAACUACCUACAGUUGAAUAUGCUAAACAUUGGCGUGUUCAACCGUGAUAGAUAGUUUAGCUAGGUGUGUAUAUUUUUGUCUCCAGCUAAUCCGCUCCUUUCAUAUUAUCCUACGAAAGCUCCAUAGUUCCUACUACAAGUCUCGCUCCCUCCAUUUUGCAUGUAUAACGCGUGUCACCCUAUUUCUCCACUUCUCUCUUCAGUCCUCACCUCGUGUUCUUUCUCUCUCCUGAUUUCAGAACUGAAGUCAAUUCGCCGCUACUUCUGUUCUUCGACUACUCGCCACCAUCAACGCUGCCAUAGGACCAUUCUAUAUAUUGAAAUCCUAGCCCCAACCUGAACUGCUCGAGGACAAGGGCUCGCUUUCGCCAUGGUGAGAUCAAGAGAUCGAUCCUAGCUGUUUCUUAUCCUCCUCUUUGCCAUGAUUUUUUCCUCCAUCUCCUUGCAUGAUACACACGUAUACCCAUUCUCUCCUUUCUUCCCGCUCUCCCCAUCUUGUCUAUCUAUUUUGCCGCCGCUGCUUCUCUUCAUUUCUCUCCCUCUUUUCCUUUAUCCCUCCUUCCUCUCCCUCGUCUGAGAAUUCAUGGAAGCUGCUCUAGAGCCUUUAGCCUCUACUUUCCCUCUUUUUAAUGGCAUAUUUGGUGACUUAUUAUUUGAAUGGGGUUUAUCUCCAUAGUGAAAACGGUAAUAGCACUGGUGCCGUUACCAUCUCUAUUUCUGGGUGAAGAUAAAAUUUCGGUGGCUCUGCUUCCCGUCUCUAUUUCUGCUCAAGAGCAUGUCUGGUCACACAAGUCCAGUUGAAUGUGUAGCUUUUGAUUCAACAGAGGUUUUGGUGGUUACAGGAGCUUCUACUGGUGCAAUAAAGCUGUGGGAUUUGGAGGAAGCAAAGAGCAAGUCUAUGAAAUUAGAUCUACUAAAACAGUCAUUGAAUGGUUACCUGGUUCUUUCUUCUCCCUCACACAUUUGCUGAAUACAUUUUCAUAGGGAUUUCAUUUAUUACCUUGUCUCAUCCUCAGCUUCUCUGUCUUCUACUACGAGAUUAUGAAUGCCCCGAAAAGGAGAACAACUUGCACCUGGGAAUUGUUGCUAGCAACAGAUUGGUGGAGCCAUGGAAGAAGGGAUCCAAUAGUCUAGGUCAAGUGUGGGAUUGAGAAAGUAAAACACCAAGUAACCAAGCAAGAAAUGGUCAACCAGAUGGGCAAACAUUAAUUUUUGAAAUUAUUGGAGUUAUUCACUAUUUAGUAGACAUCAUAUCUCCUAAUUGUAAACCUUUCUUCUUUUUCCACUAAACAAUCUAAUUUAUCCUUCAAAAAUUUGUAUGGAUGUUAUUAAAGGAAUACCUCUUAUAUAAACUAAUUUCUUUUUAUUCUG